rnacentral:rRNA from 1 species
CCUACGGGGGGCAGCAGUGAGGAAUAUUGGUCAAUGGGCGCGAGCCUGAACCAGCCAAGUCGCGUGAGGGAAGACGGUCCUAUGGAUUGUAAACCUCUUUUGUCGGGGAGCAAAAGACGCCACGCGUGGCGUUCUGCGAGUACCCGAAGAAAAAGCAUCGGCUAACUCCGUGCCAGCAGCCGCGGUAAUACGGAGGAUGCGAGCGUUAUCCGGAUUUAUUGGGUUUAAAGGGUGCGCAGGCGGAAGAUCAAGCCGGCGGUAAAAUUGUGGGGCUCAACCUUUUAGAGCCGUUGAAACUGGUUUUCUUGAGUGAGCGAGAGGUAUGCGGAAUGCGUGGUGUAGCGGUGAAAUGCAUAGAUAUCACGCAGAACUCCGAUUGCGAAGGCAGCAUACCGGCGCGCAACUGACGCUGAUGCACGAAAGUGUGGGUAUCGAACAGGAUUAGAUACCCGAGUAGUC